CUGCUGUUCCUGGAUGGACAAUGAACGAUACAAACAACAACAUAGGUUUGUCGGAUGUGUGUAUGGGGCUUCAACACAUGAGAUCUAGCACCUAUUAGACUGGUGGUGUUCGCCCCAUGAAUCUAUUUUUCUUAAGCUGGGUGAAGAAACAUUCAGUUAGUUUCGUGCAACAUCCUCACAAAAAUGCAACAAGACUAAACAAAUACAGCAAACAGAUGCAAUGUCAUACUAUACCAGUAAGUACCAGAGUAAUGUGAAAAACAUUCUCAAUGGUGAUUACUUUU